GCCAGCUAUAACCUCUGGCCUCCAAACGUUGAGGUUCGUAGACCGACCGAGGUCCAACACCGCUGGACGCAGCCGCCGACAUGUCCACCGAGAGCGUCGUGAACAAGCGAGUCUCCAAGUUUAAAAACAUGGGGAAAGAUCUGGCGAAACUCCGAGAGAAACGGGUGUCUGAGUGCGUGGAGCUGCGCAAAGCUCAGAAGAACGAGAGCAUCCUAAAGAGGAGGAACAUUAUACUGUCUUCUCUCCCCGACGAGGAGGCCCUCUCACCUGAACACAACGACACGCUGAGCUUCAGAAUCGAGGAUAUAAUCAGAGACGUCAACAGCGAGGAUCGGGAGGCCCAGACCAGAGGAUGUCAGGCAGCCAGGAAGCUGCUCUCUAAGGGCUGUGAUCCUCCGCUCAAGGAGAUCGUUGACGCUGGUCUGCUGUCACGGUUUGUGUCCUUCUUGUCUAUGGAUGACGAGCCGACUCUGCAAUUUGAAUCAGCGUGGGCUCUCACUAACAUCGCCUCUGGAAAUUCUUGGCAUACCCAGCAGGUGGUGCAACAUGGUGCUGUACCAGCUUUCAUCAGCUUGCUGGCCUCACCAAUGUUGCACAUCAGCGAGCAGGCUGUGUGGGCUUUAGGAAACAUUGCAGGUGAUGGUCCAGCUUAUCGUGACAUCCUCAUUGGGUGCAAUGUCAUCCCUGCCUUGCUGGCUCGCAUUUCCCCAGACACACCAGUUGGCUACUUGCGGAACCUAACUUGGACCUUGUCCAACUUGUGCCGAAACAAGAAGCCAUGUCCCCCUUCGUUUGCAGUUCAGCAGAUGCUUCCUCCUCUGGUCCGGUUGCUUCAUCUCAGUGACAAGAACAUCUUGUCUGAUGCAUGCUGGGCAAUCUCUUACCUCACAGAUGGCAGUAAUGAUCGCAUUGAUCUAGUUGUGAAGACUGGCAUUGUCCCACGGUUGGUGGAGCUCAUGAACAACAAGGAGCUCUUUAUUGUGACUCCAGCUCUGCGCUCCAUCGGGAACAUAGUGAGUGGCUCUGACCUGCAUACCCAGAUGGCAAUUGAUGCUGGCGUUCUCAAUGUUCUACCAAAGUUGUUGAGGCUCCCAAAACCUACAGUGCAGAAAGAGGCAGCGUGGGCUCUGUCAAACAUCGCUGCAGGACCUUGCCAGCAAAUCCAGCAGCUCAUCACUUGCGGAUUGCUUCUGCCUCUCGUAGAAGUGCUCAGAAAUGCAAGUCAACACAACUAUUGCUGGAGACUUCAAGACUCAGAAGGAAGCAGUUUGGGCAGUGACAAACUUCACCAAUGGGGGCACUGUAGAGCAGGUGGUGAGUCUGGUGCAAAGUGGAGCUCUGGAAGCAAUAAUCAACCUGCUGCAGGUCAAGGAUGCCAAAGUCAUCCUGAUUAUACUGGAAGCAGUCAACAACAUGUUCAUCGCUGCAGAGAAACUUGGAGAAACCGAAAAGCUUAGUCUGUUAAUUGAAGAGCUGGGAGGACUGGAACAGAUCGAGAUGCUGCAGAACCAUGAAAAUGAGAUGGUGUACCAAACUGCACAUGACCUCAUUGAGAAGUACUUCAAUGAUGGCAACAUUGAGGAAGUCCAGGUUGAUACAACCCAGACUGAAUUUGAGCUUAAGGCUCCUGAUGUCCAGAAAACCUUUGAAUUUUAAGUUAAAACCAUUUUUGCUAAUCAUAAAUAAACUUGUGUACAAUAUG